AAGUCGAUUUUUCGAAUAAUUUUUAUUGUUAUCUAUUUCUUAUUUUAUUUAUUUAUAGAAAUAGAUUUCGCGAUUACAAAUUGUGCGAUUUUGCAGGUGUUUUUUCUGAAAUUUGUUAGAACAACGAAGAAAUGUUUAGGCUAGGGAAUUUUACCUCCACAACAUCGGUUGUUUUAUAUCAAGGCCUAUUUUUACCCCUCAUCGUUUUUUGCGAAAUUUUAGGUUUAUUUUUUUCACAGUAAAGAAAUUUUGUAUUUUUUGACUAAAAAAAAACAUGUAGGGACAUUUCAUCGCUCCUAAUUCAGUUGGACACAAUAAGAUGGCGGAGUUUGAAUUGUUCAAAAAGUCAGAUUUUUUUUUUAAUUAGUAUUUAUUUUUGGGACGCAACGGUGGAAUUAUAUUGAAAGAAGAAGGGACUAGACUUCCAUUUGGCGUUGCUUCUGAUGCCUCAGAAGUUUUCCAACAAAUCUAUUUUUGGAUAUUUUGGUAUUCAAUUCAGCUUAAGAAAAGCAAGACAGUUACAACAAAAAAGAGCUUCAGUCAUUUAACUGGAGAGGAAUGCACAAAGAUAUCAUCAAUUAACUCGAAACAAGAAGUUUUAUCGUAUCCGUGGCAAAUUAUUGUACAUGGAAUUCCAGAAAUACUAUAAUCGGAGAAUGGGACUCUAGAUUUAAACAUGAGACUUCCAGCCCGUAUUUUCCCCGAGUAAACGGACCUGCUGAGAAAAACAUCACCGGGAUUCCGGGAAAAUGUUUUUUUUUC